CUACGGAGGGUGCAAGCGUUAUCCGGAUUUAUUGGGUUUAAAGGGUUCGUAGGCGGAUCAAUAAGUCAGUGGUGAAAGCCUGUGGCUCAACCAUAGAACUGCCAUUGAUACUGUUGAUCUUGAGUACACUUGAAGUGGGCGGAAUGCGUCAUGUAGCGGUGAAAUGCAUAGAUAUGACGCAGAACACCGAUUGCGAAGGCAGCUCACUAAAUUGUAACUGACGCUGAGGAACGAAAGCGUGGGGAGCGAACAGGAUUAGAUACCCUAGUAGUCC
rnacentral:rRNA from 1 species